rnacentral:rRNA from 1 species
CGAAAGCCUGACGGAGCAACGCCGCGUGGGGGAAGAAGGUUCUUGGAUUGUAAACCCCUUUUCUCAGGGAAGAAGUUCUGACGGUACCUGAGGAAUCAGCCUCGGCUAACUCCGUGCCAGCAGCCGCGGUAAUACGGAGGAGGCAAGCGUUAUCCGGAAUUACUGGGCGUAAAGCGUCCGUAGGGGGCUCGUCAAGUCUGCUGUCAAAGCUCGGAGCUCAACUCCGACCCGGCAGUGGAAACUGGGGAGCUAGAGGGCGGCAGGGGCAGAAGGAAUUCCCAGUGUAGCGGUGAAAUGCGUAGAGAUUGGGAAGAACACCGGUGGCGAAAGCGCUCUACUGGGUCGCACCUGACCCUCAGGGACGAAAGCUAAGGUAGCG